rnacentral:rRNA from 1 species
UACGGAGGGUGCGAGCGUUGUCCGGAAUUAUUGGGCGUAAAGAGCUCGUAGGCGGUUUGUCGCGUCUGCUGUGAAAACCCGAGGCUCAACCUCGGGCCUGCAGUGGGUACGGGCAGACUAGAGUGUGGUAGGGGAGACUGGAAUUCCUGGUGUAGCGGUGAAAUGCGCAGAUAUCAGGAGGAACACCGAUGGCGAAGGCAGGUCUCUGGGCCAACUACUGACGC